rnacentral:rRNA from 1 species
GGGUAACGGGGUGUUAGGGCACAACACCGGAGAGGGAGCCUGAGAAACGGCUACCACAUCCAAGGAUGGCAGCAGGCGCGCAAAUUACCCAAUCCCGACACGGGGAGGUAGUGACAAUAAAUAACAAUACGGGGUCCUUUCGGGUUUCGUAAUUGGAAUGAGUACAAUUUAAAUCUCUUAACGAGGAACAAUUGGAGGGCAAGUCUGGUGCCAGCAGCCGCGGUAAUUCCAGCUCCAAUAGCGUAUAUUAAAGUUGUUGCAGUUAAAAAGCCCGUAGUUGAAUUUCGGGAUUAGUGCGCCGGUCGUGCCUUCGGUAUGUACUGGUGUUACUGAUUCCUACCUUCUGACGAACCGUCAUGUCAUUAAUUUGGUGUGGCGGGGAAUCAGGACUGUUACUUUGAAAAAAUUAGAGUGUUUAAAGCAGGCUCGCGCUUGAAUACAUUAGCAUGGAAUAAUGAAAUAGGACGUUCGAUCCUAUUUUGUUGGUUUCUAGGAUUGACGUAAUGAUUAAUAGGGAUAGUUGGGGGCAUUAGUAUUCAAUUGUCAGAGGUGAAAUUCUUGGAUUUAUUGAAGACUAACUACUGCGAAAGCAUUUGCCAAGGAUGUUUUCAUUAAUCAAGAACGAAAGUUAGGGGAUCGGAGACGAUCAGAUACC